UGCGUUUUUUGUAAGUAAAUUUUGAAGUAACAAGUGUAAUUGUCGUGUGGGGUCAGCAUCUCCUGGUGAGGUGUUAAUUGUUUUGCUUCUAUCUAUUCUUUUCGUCGCUGCAUUUCCUUAUCUUCCCCCCUGUUUUAAUGCAGUAUAGGUAUGUCCGUCAGUAUCUUUCGUGUGUUGUUAUGUUAUAGUUCGUCGUGGUUAUAUGUGUAUUUUUUUUUGGUGUUAUAAAUUUUAUUGAGAUUUUGUUUCUUAUGUUUAAAGUGAUUGUUCGAAUUUUGGAUUAGUUCCUGUUUUUUGCUUCAACGUGUUUCUGUUGAUGUCUGAGGCUGUUUUUAGUGUUUUUUUUUUUUGUGAUUUGAGAAUCUUGGAGGGGGUUAAAAUGUUAUCUUUUCCAGUUUUAUUUAAUUAGUAAUUUGAGAAAUUUGGAGGGGGUUAAAAAUGUUAUCUUUUCCAGUUUUAUUUAAUUAGUAAUUUGAGUUUAAAUUGGAGGUUCCUGCUUACCAAUAUUCUACAAUUUGUGGAGGUUCUUGGCUUUUAAAAUUUUAUUUUGGGUAAGUUUGUUAAUGAAUUGUUUGAUUGUAUGUUGUAUUGUUCAUUUAUGUAUGUUUCAUUGGUUUUAUCUUUUUUAGGUACCCUGUG